rnacentral:rRNA from 1 species
GGAAAGAGUGGUCGACGGUUAAUACCCUGGUCCUUUGACGGUACCAUCGAAGGAAGCACCGGCUAACUCCGUGCCAGCAGCCGCGGUAAUACGGAGGGUGCAAGCGUUGUUCGGAAUUACUGGGCGUAAAGCGGGCGUAGGCGGCUUUUUAAGUCAGAUGUGAAAGUCCACGGCUCAACCGUGGAAGUGCAUUUGAAACUGGGAAGCUUGAGUACUGGAGGGGAUGGUGGAAUUCCCGGUGUAGAGGUGAAAUUCGUAGAUAUCGGGAGGAAUACCGGUGGCGAAGGCGACCAUCUGGCCGGAUACUGACGCUGAGGUGCGAAAGCGUGGGGAGCAAACUGGAUUAGAUACCCUGGUAGUCCACGCCGUAAACGAUGUCAACUAGGUGUUGGAGUGGUUAAUCGCUUCAUUGCCGGAGCUAACGCAUUAAGUUGACCGCCUGGGGAGUACGGGCGCAAGAUUAAAACUCAAAGGGAUUGACGG